UACGGGGGGGGCAAGCGUUGUUCGGAAUUACUGGGCGUAAAGGGCGCGUAGGCGGUUUGUUAAGUUGGAUGUGAAAACUCUGGGCUUAACCCAGAGCCUGCAUCCAAAACUAGCAGACUAGAGUUCUGGAGGGGAUAGCGGAAUUCCUGGUGUAGCGGUGAAAUGCGUAGAUAUCGGGAGGAACACCAGUGGCGAAGGCGGCUUCCUGGACCUGUUCUGACACUGAGGAGCGAAAGCGUGGGGAGCGAUCCGG
rnacentral:rRNA from 1 species